GCAGCAGUGGGGAAUAUUGCACAAUGGGGGAAACCCUGAUGCAGCAACGCCGCGUGAGUGAUGACGGCCUUCGGGUUGUAAAACUCUGUCUUUGGGGACGAUAAUGACGGUACCCAAGGAGGAAGCCACGGCUAACUACGUGCCAGCAGCCGCGGUAAUACGUAGGUGGCAAGCGUUGUCCGGAAUUACUGGGUGUAAAGGGAGCGCAGGCGGGUGAUCAAGUCAGCUGUGAAAACUACGGGCUUAACCCGUAGACUGCAGUUGAAACUGUUCAUCUUGAGUGAAGUAGAGGUUGGCGGAAUUCCGAGUGUAGCGGUGAAAUGCGUAGAUAUUCGGAGGAACACCGGUGGCGAAGGCGGCCAACUGGGCUUUAACUGACGCUGAGGCUCGAAAGUGUGGGGAGCAAACAGGAUUAGAUACCCUGGUAGUCCACACUGUAAACGAUGAUAGCUAGGUGUGGGGGGUCUGACCCCUUCCGUGCCGGAGUUAACGCAAUAAGCUAUCCACCUGGGGAGUACGACCGCAAGGUUGAAACUCAAAGGAAUUGACGGGGGCCCGCACAAGCAGUGGAUUAUGUGGUUUAAUUCGAAGCAACGCGAAGAACCUUACCAGGUCUUGACAUCCGACUAACGAGAUAGAGAUAUGUCAGGUGCCCUUCGGGGAAAGUCGAGACAGGUGGUGCAUGGUUGUCGUCAGCUCGUGUCGUGAGAUGUUGGGUUAAGUCCCGCAACGAGCGCAACCCCUGCCAUUAGUUGCUACGCAAGAGCACUCUAAUGGGACCGCUACCGACAAGGUGGAGGAAGGUGGGGACGACGUCAAAUCAUCAUGCCCCUUAUGACCUGGGCUACACACGUAAUACAAUGGCCGUUAACAGAGGGAAGCAAAGCGGUGACGCAGAGCAAAACCCUAAAAACGGUCCCAGUUCGGACUGUAGGCUGCAACCCGCCUACACGAAGUUGGAAUUGCUAGUAAUCGCGGAUCAGCAUGCCGCGGUGAAUACGUUCCCGGGCCUUGUACACACCGCCCGUCACACCAUGAGAGCCGGGGGGACCCGAAGUCGAUAGUCUAACCGCAAGGAGGACGUCGCCGAAGGUAAAACUGGUGAUUGGGGUGAAGUCGUAACAAGGUAGCCGUAUCGGAAGGUGCGGCUG
rnacentral:rRNA from 1 species